AAAUUGAAGAGUUUGAUCAUGGCUCAGAUUGAACGCUGGCGGCAGGCCUAACACAUGCAAGUCGAGCGGAAACGACAACAUUGAAUCUUCGGAGGAUUUGUUGGGCGUCGAGCGGCGGACGGGUGAGUAAUGCCUAGGAAAUUGCCUUGAUGUGGGGGAUAACCAUUGGAAACGAUGGCUAAUACCGCAUAAUGCCUACGGGCCAAAGAGGGGGAUCUUCGGACCUCUCGCGUCAAGAUAUGCCUAGGUGGGAUUAGCUAGUUGGUGAGGUAAUGGCUCACCAAGGCGACGAUCCCUAGCUGGUCUGAGAGGAUGAUCAGCCACACUGGAACUGAGACACGGUCCAGACUCCUA
rnacentral:rRNA from 1 species